UACGUAGGGUCCGAGCGUUGUCCGGAAUUAUUGGGCGUAAAGGGCUCGUAGGCGGUUUGUCACGUCGGGCGUGAAAACUCAGGGCUCAACCCUGAGCGUGCGUUCGAUACGGGCAGACUAGAGGUAUGCAGGGGAGAACAGAAUUCCUGGUGUAGCGGUGGAAUGCGCAGAUAUCAGGAGGAACACCGGUGGCGAAGGCGGUUCUCUGGGCAUUACCUGACGCUGAGGAGCGAAAGCAUGGGGAGCGAACGGG
rnacentral:rRNA from 1 species